rnacentral:lncRNA from 1 species
GUAUAGCUAGUAGAGCUGUCCAACCCAGAAAGCAGUGAAUAAAGAAAGAGAUCCCCAUUCUUGGGAAGAAAGAGUCUGAGGAAAUGUAGUAAGGUCAAUCAUGGUGAAUGAACACUUACUAUAGGAAAUCAAAGAGUUGGAGUUGGGAAUUCGAUCUAUUAAAAAGGCCUGUGCCUUCUACUCUGGACGGGGAAGAAGCCGUCAAUACUGGAUAG